UCCAGACAUUGCUAUUUGAUUCUCAAUUGUCUUUCACGAACACUUUGUCUUGCAAUCAAACACUGUGAUUACAGUAAUUAAAUUCUAGGUUUGGUUUUCUAAACCUUUACUCACUCAACGUGAUGGUGUUUGUUUCUGAACACUGGAAUAGGAUCAGUGACCCAAAACAGAGAGCAACCUGUUCUGAUUUGUAGACCUUUAUCCAUCAUAAAGGUCAUCAGAGUAGACAGGUCGUUCUUAUGCUUAUUCUACAACAAUGAACAAAAUAGACACGGUUCUUAUAAUUGAGACAACAUUAAAAAAAUGAAAAAUAAUUGUUGGAGGAGAGAGAAGAAAUCAUUAUUACAUAAAGUAAAAAGUGAAGAAAGAGAGAGUGAUUCAAUGGGUGAGUAAAUAAGUGAAAAAAUGUUAGUUCUUUAUUCAGUGUGGGUAAAGUCUGAAAUGUUGUUGAAUCGACGGUGGAAAGUAGGUAAUGAGAAGUGAGUGUGAGAUUUGAGUGAUAUGGAGAAGGAGAGACAGAGGUGAGUGAGAGGGAGAGAGAAAGUGUGAGUGAAUGGAUGACGAGGGAAUGUGUG
rnacentral:lncRNA from 1 species